GACGAACGCUGGCGGCGUGCUUAACACAUGCAAGUCGAACGGAAAGGCCCUGCUUUUGUGGGGUGCUCGAGUGGCGAACGGGUGAGUAACACGUGAGUAACCUGCCCUUGACUUUGGGAUAACUUCAGGAAACUGGGGCUAAUACCUGAUAGGAGCUCCUGCUGCAUGGUGGGGGUUGGAAAGUUUCGGCGGUUGGGGAUGGACUCGCGGCUUAUCAGCUUGUUGGUGGGGUAGUGGCUUACCAAGGCUUUGACGGGUAGCCGGCCUGAGAGGGUGACCGGCCACAUUGGGACUGAGAUACGGCCCAGACUCCUACGGGAGGCAGCAGUGGGGAGUAUUGCACAAUGGGCGGGAGCCUGAUGCAGCAACGCCGCGUGCGGGAUGACGGCCUUCGGGUUGUAAACCGCUUUCGCCUGUGACGAAGCGUGAGUGACGGUAAUGGGUAAAGAAGCACCGGCUAACUACGUG
rnacentral:rRNA from 1 species